GGGAUCGUAGCUCAACUGGAAAGAGCAUCUCCCUUGCAAGGAGAAGGCUGGUGGUUCGAAUCCACCCGAUUCCA
rnacentral:tRNA from 1 species